AUCGCUUCUCGGCUUUUUGGCUAAGAUCAUGUGUAGUAUCUGUUCUUGUCACAUUACUAUCUGGCAUGCUGGGCAUUGCCUGUCACAAAUUUUAAACUGAUAUUUGCUUCUCGAGUUAACACCGAAUAUAUAUUCAGUUGACUCACGGAUUUUCCCGGUCUUACAUAAACAUCAUAAUAAGUCUGCUUCAG